CAAACGACGUCAGACCCGGCAUAAGCCGCCGCUUUGUCGUGCAUUGAGCUCAUACGCUAUGAAGAUCCGCAGAAUUUAAAGAUGAGCUGACUGUUGUAUAGUCAGCUCAAGCGACAUGGAACGCCGUUUGCAAGGAACGUGAUACACUAGAUUGAUCGAAAGAUGAGAACGAUUUUCAACUGCUAACACACUUAAGUUGGGGGCAGAUCUAUCUCUGUCGUGUCCUUCCGGUGUUUGUAUUGACCCAUAGUGGGUAUGCAAGAAUGCCGACAGAAGAAAAGGACGGCAACAGCCAGUGGAAAAGAUCUGUUUAUCGUUAACAACUUACAUCCAAGUCUGUAAAUAUUAUUUGUAUAAUACUCGUGUCUGCAUAUAAACAUCCUCACCAGAUUCGAACAAGAUUAAAAGCGAAAUUAUUAAUGGCUUCAUUACACUAAAAAAAGUUUUAUGGAAAGUUUGAGUAGAUGCAGUUUCAGAAGCAUUAAUAGCACGUCAAGUCUCGAUUUUGGUAUAAUGUGUACUCUUAUAGGGAGACUACAAUGUAUCAUUUGUGCAUGAGCGCUACCAACUCCUUGGACCAUGCUUGUUGGAAUGAACAACAUGUGUACAACAUAUAUGCAACAAUGCUGUUUGGCCUCAAUACACUAUUUUACCUCGGUUUUCUAACCACUUUAAGUCUAAAUAUGUAACUAUUAUCGUUUCGUAGUCUGUAAGUGUCCCGUAUUUAAAUGAUGUUGUCCUGUCAAUUUAAUGUUGUCCUGUUGUUAAAAAAAUUAAAAACAAAAAUGCCGUGCUUGCCUCGAGGUUAACGGGGCUCGUUUGUGUUAUGUGUUUGUGUUCGUCCGGCAGCUGAUUAAAUCUGCUUUAAGUAGAUUAGAAUUGUUGCUGUUACUCUCGCAUAACUCUGUAAACUCGUAAAAGAAGCAGUAAUCAUUUAUGCAUAGUAGCAAUAAUAAUAGCGGUAAAAUCCGUGCAUCCAUUAAGCUAAUGCCAACAUUACAAAAAUGUGAUAUACUAGUAUAUAAGAAUGUGCUUGCAUUAUACAGAAAUUAGCAUUGUAUCGAAUAACCGUAAAAAAAAAUGUAUUAUUAUUAUUGAGAAAUAAAUGUUUUAAAGCAACACACCUAGCAACUUUUUUUCUUGGAUUGAUGAGAUAUUGUUACUUUAUUGUCUUUUUUUAAAUACUACGCUAAUUUUUUUCUUUAUGCUUCUUUUUCUUUUAGCUCUGUACUGAUGAAUUAAUACCUCUGUUGUCUAUGGUUUCCACUCGAGUGGCUGAUAUCUCCAGACUGCCAAGAAAUUAGAUGAAAUUGUAAUAACUGCUAUUGUGCAGUAUAAAUGCUGCCAUCCAAGUUAUAUCUACAUCGUUUCGGACAAGGACCUCGAUAUCAGUGCAGUUCGGAAAACGGAGCAAAUUAAAUCGUCAACAAUGUUUAUGCACCUCGAUACGAGGAGCAGAGUAACUCUCAAUAUAUUUCUGCACACGCUCCCAGUUGUCUACGGUUAAUCUACCAGGUGUGACAGCACUCUAAAUCGGAGACACUUCUGACAUCACGAAUGUUGGCGCAUAGGUUAAUUCUUCACUGAAAAGCUGAGGC
rnacentral:lncRNA from 1 species